CGACCCACGUUUGUUAGAUGAGAGAGUGGUGCCUGAAGUAUGGACGUUGCCAUUUCAGACCUGGGUCAAAAACACAUAAGAUACUUACUUGUACUCUCUGAUAAAACCAACGGUAUAGUCUCAAAAGUCCCAAACCCAAAAGACCUUUUAUUCAGUUUUGAAUCCAUGAUCCAUAAAAACAAACUGAACUGUAGGCCUACAUAAUUCACAGCACAUCAAACCAAGGCUAAUGGAUUACGUAAAAUGUGUUCAUAUACUUUUCCCGUGUUUGAUCACCAGAGCUCAUAGCCUACAACUAUGUUUCUUACCACUGAAGUAACUAUGUAGAAAUGUUUUGUUUGCCUAAAAUACAAUCACUUCAAUUAUUUGGAUCGACGUUAACGUGAUUCCUCUCUUGGCAUUCACCGCGUGCCUUAAUUGUAUUGCUAUUAAAUCAAGGUCCGGCGUGAACACGAAAAGUGGUAAUCCUACCCCCAAAACACUCGCUCAGUUUACCUAUAAAUUGUCCUCAAUUGCAGAUUGAUUGCUUCAUUAGAUUAAUGCCAAUAACCACUACUCCAGUGUUCAGGAGUCGUGAGCUAAAUUUAAAUUGAGUGAAGCCGUUCAAAAUGUAUGUUGCAUUCAGUCAUCUAGCAGACUCCCAUCCAGAGCGACCCAAGGAGCAACCAGGGUCAAGCGUCCAGCCCAAGGGCACGUCGAGAGAUCUCCCACCAAGUCAAAUCGGGGACCCGAUCCAGCAACAUAUCGGCCACCGGCCCCAUUUCCCAACCAUCCAAGACCCCCCCCCCCCCCCCCCCCCCCACACAAUUCCUUGAGAGCUGCCCUUCAACCAUCCGAGAUGGCCUCAGGCAAACAGCAACUCCACUCCCACUUGUCUUCAGUUCCACAUCUCAACCCCCAGCUUCCCUCAGCCCAUUCCAUCCAUCUCUGCUGAUCACCCUCAGCCCAUUCCAUCCAUCUCUGCUGACCACCCUCAGCCCAUUCCAUCCAUCUCUGCUGACCACCCUCAGCCCAUUCCAUCCAUCUCUGCUGACCACCCUCAGCCCAUUCCAUCCAUCUCUGCUGACCACCCUCAGCCCAUCCCAUCUAUCUCUGCUGACCACCCUGAGCCCAUUCCAUCCAUCUCUGCUGGUCACCCUCAGCCCAUUCCAUCCAUCUCUGCUGACCACCCUCUUCGGAUUUCUAUGCGCCAUAUAGCUUUCAACUAUGCUGUGAUGUUUAACAUACAAUUUGAAUCUAUCUAAUUGAAUAGAAUCCACAGUUUGCAAGUUGAAGAUAAAUACUCUUACUAAGAGUAUUAGUAUAUUAGUAAUUGACUGACCAGAUCUCCCAACAAUGCUAUUUCUAGGGUCAAUUUUAGAUGAAUGGCUUUUUCAGCCAUUUCUCAACCUGAGACCAGAACAAAUGGUCUAUUGAUUCUGUAUUCUCACAACAAAAUCUGCAGAGCUGUGACAUUUGUAUGCCCCAAAUAUUAAACAUUUUGUUGGUGCCAAGAAUUCUGUUCAAUAAUUUUAGCUGAAGAGCACAAUGUCUUCAAUUAAUCUUACGUUGUUUUAUAUAUAAACGCAUACACCCUUUGCAAUGGAAUCGGUAUAUCAAAAAUCUCU